rnacentral:lncRNA from 1 species
GGCCCUUUGAGGAGUCAGAGGGAACAGGACAACAUUGUCUAAACUCUUCUUUGAGUUCUGCCAGUGAAGGACAACUCAUCUUUCAAGCUGCUCAGCCCAGAACCAUGGGGUGACCUCUAAGUCCUCUUUCAAAAUUUCUGCCAGCUUCUCCUUCAGAGGAUUUCAGAAGCUUAUUGUUUUACAUCACUCUUAUCGAGUACAGAAAAAUCUUCUGGCCCUGUGGUUUUCAAGCCUGGCUGCACACUAGAUCUCCUGGAGUACUUUCAGAAAAAUAGCCACGGGUAUGACAUGUGUAGUGGCAUUCUUAAAAAGCUCUCCAGGUGAGUCUCAUGUUCAGUGGGAAAUUGAUAGCCAACCUAAUGGCUGAAAUUUCUUUCUU